rnacentral:rRNA from 1 species
CUCGUAGGCGGUUCAACAAGUCGAUCGUGAAAACCCGGGGCUCAACCCCGGGACGCCGGUCGAAACUGUUGUGACUAGGGUCCGGUAGAGGUGAGUGGAAUUCUCGGUGUAGCGGUGGAAUGCGCAGAUAUCGAGAGGAACACCAGUAGCGAAGGCGGCUCACUGGGCCGGUACCGACGCUGAGGAGCGAAAGCAUGGGGAGCAAACAGGAUUAGAUACCCUGGUAGUCC